GAGUUGAAAGGCUUCAACAGAAACUAGGUGCUGCAGAUAUCUCUUGAAAGAUUGGCUGUGGAGUUAUAAUACCAAUUAACGUGGAGUAACCAUAAUGAUCUGUUUGGUUAACUGGAUUUGGCAUGCAUUGGUGUGAUUGGUUACAUGCACAAUUGAUAUAGUUCAUACACUUAAAAUGGGCAUGCCAAGGAAUGAGAGGUACUUCCUUUAGGUGAGUUCCUUUGUUAUUGUAAUGUGUUAGCUAAAUAAAGGGGUCUUCCAAAGAGUUCUACAUUAUCUUUUCUAUUGCAUUUUUCCCCCAUUUGUUUUAUUAAGAAAUAGACAACGGGCAAAUGCUAGAGAGAUGCAAUUGACUAUCUUAUUCCUAAUAAAUAGUGGACGAUAGGUAUAUAAGAAUAAGCAGUUGACUUUCAAGUACCCUGCCUUAUGUAAGCACCUAAUUUGGUUGCUUUCAUGAGAGAUGUGACUGGAAGGUCCCUGGCAUUCUCAUGUUUGUGUGCAGCACCAAAAUGAUCAAAGGCUCUUCAUCGAAAGCAAGACUCUCAUAUCAUCCCCCC